rnacentral:rRNA from 1 species
UACAGAGGGGGCAAGCGUUGUUCGGAAUUACUGGGCGUAAAGGGCGCGUAGGCGGCCUUCUAAGUCGAACGUGAAAUCCCCGGGCUCAACCCGGGAACUGCGUCCGAUACUGGAAGGCUUGAAUCCGGGAGAGGGAUGUGGAAUUCCAGGUGAGCGGUGAAAUGCGUAGGAUAUCUGGAGGAACACCGGUGGCGAAGGCGGCAUCCUGG